GGAUGAACGCUAGCGACAGGCUUAACACAUGCAAGUCGAGGGGCAGCGGUGGUGAAGGCUUGCCUUUACCAGCCGGCGACCGGCGCACGGGUGAGUAACACGUAUGCAACCUGCCUGCCACAGCCGGAUAAUCGGGAGAAAUUCCGUCUAAUACGGCAUAAUGCACCUAUGGGACAUCCUGUUGGUGCCAAAGGUUGAUUCCGGUGGCGGAUGGGCAUGCGUCGCAUUAGUUAGUUGGCGGUGUAACGGACCACCAAGACGACGAUGCGUAGGGGUUCUGAGAGGAAGGUCCCCCACACUGGUACUGAGACACGGACCAGACUCCUACGGGAGGCAGCAGUGAGGAAUAUUGGUCAAUGGGCGGGAGCCUGAACCAGCCAAGUCGCGUGAGGGAUGACGGCCCUAUGGGUUGUAAACCUCUUUUGCCGGGGAGCAAAGUGCCGCACGUGUGCGGUUUGGAGAGUACCCGGAGAAAAAGCAUCGGCUAACUCCGUGCCAGCAGCCGCGGUAAUACGGAGGAUGCGAGCGUUAUCCGGAUUUAUUGGGUUUAAAGGGUGCGUAGGCGGACGCUUAAGUCAGCGGUAAAAUUGCGGGGCUCAACCUCGUCGAGCCGUUGAAACUGGGUGCCUUGAGUGGGCGAGAAGUACGCGGAAUGCGUGGUGUAGCGGUGAAAUGCAUAGAAUAUCACGCAGAACUCCGAUUGCGAAGGCAGCGUACCGGCGCCCAACUGACGCUGAAGCACGAAGGCGUGGGUAUCGAACAGGAUUAGAUACCCUGGUAGUCCACGCAGUAAACGAUGAAUGCUAGUUGUCCGGGGCGAUUGAGUUCUGGGUGACACAGCGAAAGCGUUAAGCAUUCCACCUGGGGAGUACGCCGGCAACGGUGAAACUCAAAGGAAUUGACGGGGGCCCGCACAAGCGGAGGAACAUGUGGUUUAAUUCGAUGAUACGCGAGGAACCUUACCCGGGCUCAAACGCAGGAGGGAUGUUUUUGAAAGGAGGCAGCCAGCAAUGGUCUCCUGCGAGGUGCUGCAUGGUUGUCGUCAGCUCGUGCCGUGAGGUGUCGGCUUAAGUGCCAUAACGAGCGCAACCCCUACCUACAGUUGCCAUCGCGUGAUGGCGGGCACUCUGUGGGGACUGCCUGCGCAAGCAGUGAGGAAGGCGGGGAUGACGUCAAAUCAGCACGGCCCUUACGUCCGGGGCGACACACGUGUUACAAUGGCAGGUACAGCGGGAAGCCACCCGGCGACGGGGCGCGGAACCCGAAAACCUGUCUCAGUUCGGAUUGGAGUCUGCAACCCGACUCCAUGAAGCUGGAUUCGCUAGUAAUCGCGCAUCAGCCACGGCGCGGUGAAUACGU
rnacentral:rRNA from 1 species